rnacentral:lncRNA from 1 species
AGAUUAGUUUCAGUGAGUUUACACAGUCAGCGUUUUGGCGGUGAGGCUCUGAAGUUGAAUCAAGCCAAGAAAUACAAUUGAUCAUCCUAGUCUGCAAAUUUCAUUUGCAAGUUCAAUUGAAGUGUUGUGCUUUUGGUGUUAUAAAUGAAGUUCAUCAUUAAACCCAAGAACACAGACUGAUUCAGUGGGUUAGGUGGAAGUACUGGGAAUGGUACUGGCAAUGAUUCUGGAAUCGUGCAGAGCCUGGCAUGGGAAAGGUGAGGGAAGGAGAAGGCAGCCUUGGUAGUGGGGUGGAACGUGAAGAAUGGGAAUUCUGGGAAGAGAUGGUUAUAUACAUUAUUCUAUACUGAAGAGCUGUCAUUUGAUGGUUAUAUUUGUAAAUAUUUUGAUUUUGAGAAGAUUAGAAGUGGCUGAGGAGGAAGUGAGGCCUCCGAGAGCGGUCAGAUAAGUGGGGGACAGGAGGGGAGAAUGCAGCAGUGGAAUCUGACAUGACACCUCGGCAGAUUCCUUAGUCUUUUUUUUUCCCACUAGCUAAAAUGACAGUGUCUUUGGGGCCUUGAAAAGAGAAGACAAAUGGAAUAGAGAAGGGGGAUAGAGCUGGAGCCUUAGCCACAGCUGAGCUGAGUGCCUUUUUUUAUUAGGGAGGAUAUAUGUGUGCAGAGGGGUAGAUAGACUAAGGAUGGAGUUUAAACCAGAAAAGUCCAUGUGGAAAAGUAUUAAG